rnacentral:lncRNA from 1 species
CCUAACCUUAACCAUACACAAAACCCUAAUCAUAAUUCCUUACACACUAACCCCUCAUUCUAACCUCUACAGAAAUGCCAGCUUCCUGAAUGGGAACAAUGAUUUCCCAAACAGAUGUGAGACAAUGAGCCAUUUAUCAAUAACUUAUCAGGAUUUCUGUCCAAAACCUACAAACUAACUCAUAAUUUUUUUAAACAUGUCAAAUGUAGUGAAAUAAAACAACAAUCAUUUUAUUAAGUUCAUGAAUUCUAUGGUUCAGGAAUCCAAAAUAGGGCAUAGGAGAGAUUUUCCAUUUCUGCUCUACAAGGUCUGUGACGGAAGUUAGGGUAAAUGUUCUGCUAUCCAAUAGGUCAGAUCCUAGAAGAGGAGGAAGUUUGGUCAUGCUUAGAGUAGGUGCAGGAGAAGAGCAAGCCAGAAGGAAAGCUCUAUACACAUGGGUCAUAACUGGAUUUCCCUCCACUCCCACAUUUUUAGAGCAGCACCAGUUGCCUUACCUACAUAUUUAGAAAGGAUGAGGCAUGAAAAGAUACAAAGACAGAUAAAGAUGGCUCAGCUAAAGAAGUGAACAAGAAUUUAUUGCCCACUUCUCAAGCAAAGUGAGCUAGAGGCCAUUAUCCUCAGCAAACUAACGCAGCAACUAAAUACUGCAUGCUCUCACUUAUAUGUGGGAGCUAAAUGAUGACAACCCAUAGACACAAAGAGAGGAACAACAGGCACUGGAGCCUAACAGAGGGUGGAGAGUGGGAGGAGGAAGAGGAGCAGAAAAAAUAACCAUUGAAUACAAGGCUUCAUACCUGGGUGAGAAAAUAAUUCAUACAUCAAACCCCUGUGACAUGAGUUUACCUAUGUAACAAACCUGCACAUGUAGCCCCGAACCUAAAACACAGGUCUU